rfam:Flammeovirga sp. SJP92 Scaffold2_12, whole genome shotgun sequence.
AAGGCGGAAUCCGAAAAGCCUAUUUUUAAAUUGAGUAGGAA